GUCGGUGAGCUGUGGAAGCAGGCCGGAUUCCAAACCCGCGCCGCGAGGGUUCGAUUCCCUCCACCGAUG
rnacentral:tRNA from 1 species